rnacentral:rRNA from 1 species
UAGACGUUUGACUCCUGGCUACAGGACGAACGCUGGCGGCGUGCUUAACACAUGCAAGUCGAACGGAAGGCCCUGCUUUUGUGGGGUGCUCGAGUGGCGAACGGGUGAGUAACACGUGAGUAACCUGCCCUUGACUUUGGGAUAACUUCAGGAAACUGGGGGCUAAUACCGGAUAGGAGCUCCUGCUGCAUGGUGGGGGUUGGAAAGUUUCGGCGGUUGGGGAUGGACUCGCGGCUUAUCAGCUUGGUUGGUGGGGUAGUGGCUUACCAAGGCUUUGACGGGUAGCCGGCCUGAGAGGGUGACCGGCCACAUUGGGACUGAGAUACGGCCCAGACUCCUACGGGAGGCAGCAGUGGGGAAUAUUGCACAAUGGGCGAAAGCCUGAUGCAGCAACGCCGCGUGCGGGAUGACGGCCUUCGGGUUGUAAACCGCUUUCGCCUGUGACGAAGCGUGAGUGACGGUAAUGGGUAAAGAAGCACCGGCUAACUACGUG